GACGAAUGCUGGCGGCAGGCCUAACACCUGCAAGUCGAACGAGUGGCGGACGGGUGUGUAAUGUCUGGGAAACUGCCUGAUGGAGGGGGAUAACUACUGGAAACGGUAGCUAAUACCGCAUACCAUCAGAUGUGCCCAGAUGGGCUUAGCGUGUUGGUGGGGGAACGGCGCACCAAGGCGACGAUCCCUAGCUGGUCUGAGAGGAUGACCAGCCACACUGGAGAUGAGACACGGUCCAGACUCCUACGGGAGGCAGCAGGGGGGAAAAUUGCACAAUGGGCGCAAGCCUGAUGCAGCCAUGCCGCGUGAAUGAAGAAGGCCUUCGGGUUGUAAAGUAGGUUGAGCGUGGAGGCGUUACCCACAGAAGAAGCACCGGCUAACUCCGUGCCAGCAGCCGCGGUAAUAC
rnacentral:rRNA from 1 species